GUCACGUAAUUCGGUGGUACACCUGUAACCUCGUGAUUAGUUUACGACACAUACCUGUCUUUUCCAGCUCUGGCGUAUACGAGAAAAAAAACCAACCAGUUUUGUAGGCUUUGUUGCUUCAGUUAACUUUGAGAUGCUCCCUGAUAACUUACCUCUAUUUCGGUGCACAAACUAGAGUCAAGCUCCGGUGGUGCGCUGAAUUCAGCUCCGUCUUUCAUCUGUUUCUCUAUAAACUUGCGGUAGAAUUCAGGGUCAUUUUCAGAGAGGUCAUCCAGCAUGGACCAAAACUGAUUCACCUGCUGUAAAACAUCUUUUGUACUGCCAGUGGAGGACAUCUUAAGCAUCAACUAACGCCUAAUGUUGUAUGUCACCAUGGAAACUGGACGUGAGGAAACGUUCCACCGACGCCCCCUGUCGGAAUCCAGCCUAAGAACUCGGCCACUUUGGUGUAAACUCCAGGAUGGUUUGGUUCAGCACAGCCAGUCCCCCAGCUCACCACCCCCACCAGCCUCCACACAUUCUCAUCCUGGCAGACAAGAGGACCCCCACUGUCCCCCUGAAAGGCCACAUCACCUAACUUCCUGUUUCGUCAUGGCUACCUGCUGCUGACUUAGCUGGCUGCAAAUCAUCACCGAGGCGACGUCACGGCUCUGAAUGAUCGCCCUCUGCUCCUCGUCUCUCCAUCAAGGCUGCAAUCAGAGACAUCUACAGGGCAUCUGACCUACUGACAGGCUGACAGGUCAGGACCAGUGUGAUGUCCUGAAAUAAAAGCAGAAGCUGGUUAAUGAUAAUAAAUA